rfam:Gorilla gorilla gorilla genomic chromosome, chr4, whole genome shotgun sequence
GCCGGGCAUGGUGGUGGGUGCCUGUAAUCCUAGCUACUUAGGAGGCUGAGGCAGGAGAAUCGCUUGAACCCAGGAGGCGGAGAUUGCAGUGAGCCGAGAUCACACCACUGCACUCCAGCCUGGGUGACAGAGUGAAACUCUGUCUCAA